UGUGGUCCACGGUGUGGGUGUUGCAAGCUUUAUAUUGUAUUGUAGCUGUCUGUCACAGUUAUUGCUUUAUAAAAUGUGUUGAUAAUCAGAAUGGUUGUUAACAGCCUGAUUGUUGACAGGAUGCGGGAGAGAUGUGACCCCUGAGAUCACAAUUUCCACUAUCUCUCUCUCUCUCUCUCUCUGCAGCAAUCCGCCAGGUCGUCUCCAGAUCUCUUGUGGCACGCUACCAGAAAUAUGUGGAUGAAGCCUCUAAGAAGUAGAUCUGACAUCCUGAUCCAGUACCACAGGACCCUGUUGGUGGCCGACUCCUGCCGCUGCGAGUCCAAGAAGUUUGGUGGACCUGGAGCCUGCACUUGCUAUCAGAAGUCUUACUGUUAAAAAUGCAAUCUUCAUUUUAAUAUACAAUAAAAAU